CCCCGCCCUGCCUUUCUUUCCCGCGUGAGUCAGGGUUCGAGUCCGCCCGGCUUCGCUGCGUCCCCAUGCCCCUGCCCCCCACACUCUGCCCUUGCCCCGGCGCAUCUGCACAGGGGCCUGAGGUUAGCCGCAGGACCUCAGGGGAGGCCCCGAGGGUCUUCCUGGGCCACAAUCCUCAGCAGCCCUGAGCAGACCCCUGGCCCGACUCCUACUCGCGGCUGGGAACAUACUUUCUUCCCCUUCGCUCGUCCCUUACUCUGGCCAGGAAACAGCUGGGGCGGAAGUGUGACUCAGGAGAGAAAACCAUGCCCCGUGGACGGGUGUCUCUUUUCACGGAUGAGGGUCCGCCCUCCCCGUGAAUCAAGGUCCCUUCCUGUGAAUGAAGGUCCCCUGCCUGUGCAUUUAGGUUGCCUACACCGCGGAUGGGUAGAAGUUCCUCCCCGUGGAUUUGGGCAUUUAAUAUUCCGUCGCUGAGAGCCACCUGUGUCUCCCUCCAUGCUGACACUGGGGCCACAAGAUGGAAUGCCAGAGGCAAAGUGCUCUGCUAGUGGGGCUUGUGUCCUGGGUGUAGGGCUGGACCUUGGAUCCAGAAGGUGACAGCACUGUUCGUCAGCUGGACCCCGAGGCACAAGAUACAUGGAGAUCACUGGUCCUGUUGUCCUGCACUGAUGUUUCAUUCCUACCUCUGCUUACGCUUGACGCCAAGGAUGGGUGAGUGGGCGAGUGUCCUGCGGGACUUUCUGCCCUGUGGGGCUGGCCGUUGCCUCAGGUCACCCCUGCUUCCUCCCCUGGCAACUUUCUGGAGCAUGUCUGAGCCUUUCCCUAGGAGCCUUUGCCCUUGCUAUUCCUCCCUCUGAAAUGCUGGAGCUCCUUGCUGCCUGCCAAACUCCUAACCGUCCCUCAAAACCCAGGGGCCCAAGGCACUGUCUACCCUGUACUUUCUUUGGGAAAACACCCCCCACAGGAUUGCACUGAGUGUCCUUUGUUCGUUCAGCCUGACUGCCGGAUGGGCCUCACAUACAGGGGCUUGGGACUGGGGUUCUCCAGGGUGAGCGUGUCAUAGGAAGCCCAUUACCCAGGCUGCCAGCAGAUGCGUCCCUCUUCCCAUCAGGGCACAGGCUCCUCAGCUCCUGGUUUGCUUUUGGCCAAGGCUGGGCUGCGUGGGGUCCCGAGACCUAGACCCCAAGCACCUGUGAGUUAUGCAGACCCUGCACCAGAAAGCAGAGGGUGGCAGGUGACAACCCAGAAAGCAUGGGGCUGCUGAGGCCAUUGCGGCCAGCUGGAGUGCUGGGCCCUUCUGCCCGGUGAGGGAGGGGGCAUCAGCAGUCCUGUUGGGAGGGUAGAGCAGCCGGUACCACUGCCCACAGGCUGCUGGGGCCUGGCCAGAAGAUGUCAGACAGGUGGGCAGGCAAUGGUGCUUUGUGGCCUGGAGUGGGGUGAUAUGAUAUGGAGACAGGCUCUGUCCCAGGCUGGCCCAGCCCAAUGUCCAUCAGGACAGGAGCAGCGGAUGCCCGGGAGGACCCAGAGGAGGGUCGGAACGGGGUUCCCCCCAAACACACCUCCGGGGACCACUGGGCUGGAGAGGGGCUGACUUCCACCCAGGCUUUGCUCCCACGUGCCAGGGGUGGGUCACAGGAGGUCACCUCAGCGCUCUCUGCAGCACCAUGGGCGUAAGCCUCUCUCCUGCCGGGGCAGGUCCCCAGUGCUGGAGAGCAGGAGCUGGCAGUGCACCUCGCUCCGUUCAACCCUCCGAUAGCCAGCACCAGCUCUGCGGGUCAGACACUAGACAGGAGGUCCAGGCACGCUGGGACCAGUCGCUGGGACACAGAGAGCCUCUGCCUGCCUGGGCCUGGGACCUCCUUGAGGCCUGGGAGCUGCGGGCCCAGGACAGGGGGCACUGAAGGCCUGACUCAGCAGCCACGGAGAGGGAGGGUCUGGAGCAGUGAGUCACCGGCCACCUCCGCCCUCCCCAGGCCUUAGUCACUCUGCCCUGAUGGAGGAAGAGAGGCUCUGGAAGCCCCUACCUGGCUGUGCCCCUGUCUGGGGAGGGCGGGUCCUGAGGCACUGGCCAGCCCUCCCCACCACUGCACCAAGAAUGCAUUUCAGGGUAGGGGUCCCCAAAGGGGAGUUAGGCACUCUUAGGGGAAGAAGGGUGCUAGGGAGGAAAGCCAGCUGGGCCCCUCUGCAUCCCUGUAAGGUGAUCCCACGUGAGCGCAACACAGCCCGGCAGCAUCCUCAGUGCCCAGCCAUGGGCACGCCUGCCCCUGGGGCUGCUGCCGCCCAUCCGAGGUCCCCGUUUUUCAGAUGUCCUUGUAAGUCUGAGGGGAAUUUACGGUGUGUACUUUUUGGACACUGAAUACUUUUUAUAUCUGGUAUUUUUUUUUUUGGACAUUGAAAAUAGUUCUGUCACAAAAGUAUAUUUAAGCCAACCUUGGGCGUCCCUGAGAGUGUUUUUGUUUUUUCCACUUUGGAGGCCCCCCUGCGUUACUCAAGCCUGGGGAUGCUAUGAACCAGAGGCUGAGAGUCAGAACUCACACGGGGUCCCAGGGACCUCGGCUAACCAGUCUGACUGAGCCUUCCCCGUGGAGGGGACGCUGGUGACUCGAACUCAUAAGAGAUGGAGAAACGGGAGCUCAUUGCAAUGUGAUAUCACAAAACUGCAGUGUGGCCUUGUGUCAGGUGCAGGCAGGCCCAGGACAGGCCCUGGCUGUGGAGGAGGAACCGCAGGGGACAGCAUCACUGUGGGGUCAGGGGGACCAUCCAUUUCUCGAGGCUGGGCUAUCGCUUCUGCUAGUGGGAAGGAGACAACAUGAAUUCUGCAGCUUCCUCCACAGAAAACCUAAAGUCCAGGUGGAUUAAAGGCCUAAAUUCGAGUAAAUUGCAAGAAUGUCAGACUAGCACGAGAAGACUAUCCUUGAAACCAAGACCCCAGAAGCUUGGUGGUAAAGGGAGCAGCUGAGGUUUUGGAACUUCUGGACUCAGGAAACAGAGUGAGAGGCAAGGCAGCCAGCAAAUGAAGACACGUGCAGGUCGGCAAAGGCUUGGAAUACAAAACACAGACAGGCAUCCUCCGGUAAAUGAGGAGAAGGCAUCCCAUCAAUAGAAAAAUGGACAAAUGGCACCACCAGGAAAAAUCACAAGAGGCAAGCCCCAGAUGGCCGGGAACCUGGCAAGCAGUAGCAGUCGGACCAGUGCAAAGGGAAACCACCAGGAGUGGCCAGCUUGCCCCGUUCGGCCUGCAGAGCCUUGGGUGCUUCGCCGCUCCUGGUCACUGGGCGAGGGCAGCGCUGCUCUCAUGGCCAGCCCGUGGCACAAGACCGAGCGGCAGAGUGUAGGACGCACACCCGGCGUGGCCCAGCCAUCCACCUUCGGGUGUGUCCCAGAGAGGGUGGGUGCAGGGUCCCAGGUGUAUGCACACCCGUGUUCACGGCAGCGUUACAACAGCCAACAGGUGGAGCCAGCCCAGUGUCCGUCAGUGGAUGGGUGGAUCCACAAAACGUGGUCCAUCCACACAGUGGGAUGCGAUUCAGCCUUCAAGGGAGGGAAAUCCUGACACGGCUACAACAUGGAUGAACCCUGGCGACGUGAUGCUCAGUGAAAUAAGCCAGACAGAAGGACACGUGCUGUCUUGAUUCUAUUCGUACGAGGUCCCUAGAGGAGUCAGACUCAUAGAGGCGGGAAGCGGACAGUAGGGACCAGGGGAGGAGAAGGGGGCGGGGAGUGGGUGUUCAUGGAGACAGAGUGUCAGUUUGGGGAGCUGAGUAGUUUCCAGAGAUGGGUGGCGUGAUGUUAACACAACAACAUGAAUGUUCUUAAUGCCAACCAUCUGUGCACCUGAGGGGCUGAGAUAAAAUGGUACGUUGUACGUGAUGCACAUUUUACCACAAUAAAACAAAAAAAAGGUGUGCCUGCA